AACUUUAAUGAGAAGCAAUGGGAGACCAUGCUUCAUAAAUAAUCUACGGGAUUCGAUUCUCCUUAGGAACAGGGAGAAACACUAUGGCGAAGAGGAAAAGGCCAGGGGAAUUGGUCCCCGCCACAUGGUGUCAGGAAACUAAGGAAAUGGCGCUUCCCCUGCUGCUGCCCACUGACGAUUAGCAGACACGAUGUAGGGAAGCCCAACCCUGGGGCCGCAGGCCGCAGCCCCCUUUCUCAGGCCGGGCCUUGCAGCCACCAGACCUCUCGUUGGGUUGAGACACAUGGGCUCGGGGGCCAGCGGGGAGGGUGUCGGUGGUGCUGGGUGGGGGCGCGCCGGGCACACUUGCAGCAGCAGCAUUGAGUUCUUCGAACUGUAGGGGCCCUAGAAAAGAUUUGGGGGUGACUGAGUUGUAGGGCUUCUCAGUAAAACUUCCCUCUGCAGCACAAGUCAGAGCCUUCCUCUCCCCAGGGCAGUCGGCGGCUCCCCAGCCACUCUGCCUUUUCCUCCUCAAACUCCAAGUGGGCUGGAGGGGGCUGAGGGGCUCACGUGCGGCCUGGAGGCCAAGAGGUUGCCCCGCCCUAGGAGUAGAGGGGAAGUGACCACAUGACAUGGCUGCAGUGGGAAGGAGAGUUUGACAGUUGGGUUAGCUGGGCUGAGAGGGGCCGGGAGGGGACGGACAGUCCCUGAGCACCUCCUCCUACCUGCCAGGUGCUUUGGUCGUGGUUGAAUGGACAUAGCUGGGGGUUUAAUAACUGCAGACCCAUGAAGCAAACGGACCAGCUGAAUGAAAAGCAGUUGGGGAGGGGUAACAGGGAAGGCAGACAGACUGGGAGCAACUGGUUUCCCUUCCCCAGGAGCCUGGGUGAGACCAGCGUGAUGUCCUGGCUCCACCCCUGUCUGGACUCCCGGGAAAUUCUCACACUCCACCCUCCUGCCCACUUCCGGGAAAGCUGCCCCCAGCGUGGCCAGACCCGCCGAGGCAGCUCAAACAACCCACAGUCCACAACCAGCUGGUAAUCAUGGCCAGUAAUGUGCUCUCCUGCUUGGUGGCGGUAAGAGAAAGAGGAAGCUGUGAGUGAGCAGAUGGGUGGCAGUCCCAGCCAGAGGCCUGAGAGCCCUCCCCGUGCACAGAGCGGCUCCCUGCAGGCCCUGGCCCUCCUCACAGGUGCCUGGACCUGGAGAAGGGGGGAUUGAGACCUGCCCUGAUGGGGGCCUGUGGAGCUCAGCACGGCACCUCUGGGGGCCGCUCAGGAGGGGAGCACCCCGCCAGCCAGGGGCCUGCUCCUGGCUCUACCUGGAGAGACUGUCUAGGGACUCGUCAAUGUCACAGUCACAGGGAUCGGAAUCUGCAGAAGGAGGGGCGUGGAUGUCUCCUCAGACGACCCCCCGCCUUCUCCAAGCCUCUCUGAGCUGCUCUCCCCACCCUGCAUCCCUGUACCCUGCAAUGCCUAUUUCUGUAUUCGGGGGUGUCACUGCAGGCUCUCCUUUUCAUGAACUUCACAAAAGCAGGGAGCACAUGGGGCCCCCACAGCCCUAGACUCACAUGCCUACCACACUUCCCAGGGAAGGGAAACUGGACUUGGGGACAAAUACAGAGGUCAGGGCAUUGAGAGGCCUCUCUUGUCCUCUUGCCAAACUCCACCCCCAGGGAGAAGAAAGGGAUAGAACUUAAAAUGGUGAGAGCAUGUUAACAUCCAUCCCACUGAGCGUUUAAAAUUCAUGAAUUUCACCUAAAUUCAACAAAAACCAGGUUCCAGCAGAGGCCAGCAGUCUGCAUACCUGGAAGGGGGAGCAGCGGCAGCCUCAAGCUGCUUACGCACCAACAACCAACAACCCCCUCUCCCAGCUCCCCAGGGACACACAGAGCUGGUGGCUUCUAAGAGGGCCACCUCCUUCUGGAACUGUUCUCCAGCGUCUCCUGAAUCACAGAAUCUGAUUCAGCUGGUCUGGGUGGAGCCCUGGCACGGCACCCACGCCCUGAGGGAGCGGGAGCGUGGAGGAUGCUUCAGCGGGCAGAAAAGAGGUUUCAGACAGACCCUGGACACUCCCAGGAACAGGGUAAGGAAUGAGAAGUGUGGCCAAGCAUUGCCGGCGGUCUGGCCUUUGUGAAGCGUUGGGCGCUGCUGCAGGGUGAGCUUUGGGGCUUCGUUCCUUUCUUUCAGAUCAACUAUUUUUAAAUAUGUAAUUUAUUUUC